GUGUGGGGAUCUGAUCCUAACCUGGCAACACAUAUAUACACACAUAUACUAAAAUUGGAACUAUACAAAGAAUAUUAGCAUGGUCCCUGCACAAGGGUGGCACAGAAGUUAGUGAACUGUUCCAUAUAUAA
rnacentral:snRNA from 1 species